rnacentral:rRNA from 1 species
GACGAGCGCUGGCGGCGUGCCUAAUACAUGCAAGUCGAGCGGGCCUCCGGAGGUGCUUGCACCUCCGGAAGGCCAGCGGCGGACGGGUGAGUAACACGUGGGCAACCUGCCUUUGAGGCCGGGAUAACACCGGGAAACCGGUGCUAAUACCGGAUACGUCCUCUUUCGCGCCUGCGAGAGGGGAGAAAGACGGUCUUUAAGGCCGCCGCUCAAAGAGGGGCCCGCGGCGCAUUAGCUGGUUGGUGGGGUAAGGGCCUACCAAGGCGACGAUGCGUUGCCGACCUGAGAGGGUGAUCGGCCACACUGGGACUGAGACACGGCCCAGACUCCUGCGGGAGGCAGCAGUAGGGAAUCAUCCGCAAUGGGCGAAAGCCUGACGGUGCAACGCCGCGUGAGUGAGGAAGGUUUUCGGAUCGUAAAGCUCUGUUGUGAGGGAAGAACAGCUUCCGGAGGAAAUGCCGGAGGUUUGCCGGUACCUCACCAGAAAGCCCCGGCUAACUACGUGCCAGCAGCCGCAGUAAGAC